CCUACGGGAGGCUGCAGUGAGGAAUAUUGGUCAAUGGUCGGGAGACUGAACCAGCCAAGCCGCGUGAGGGAUGAAGGUACAGAGUAUCGUAAACCUCUUUUGUCAGGGAACAAAGGCGGGGACGCGUCACCGGCUGAGUGUACCUGAAGAAAAAGCAUCGGUUAACUCCGUGCCAGCCGCCGCGGUAAUACGGGGGAUGCGAGCGUUAUCCGGAUUUAUUGGGUUUAAGGGGUCCGCAGGCGUACGGUUAAGUAAGCGGUCAAAGCCCGGGGCUCAACCCCGGCCCGCCGUUGAAACUGGCAGUCUCGAGUUGGAGAGAAGUAGGCGGAAUGCGCGGUGUAGCGGUGAAAUGCAUAGAUAUCUCGCAGAACUCCGAUUGCGAAGGCAGCAUGCCGGCUCCACACUGACGCUGAGGCACGAAAGCGUGGGUAUCGAACAGGAUUAGAUACCCGAGUAGUC
rnacentral:rRNA from 1 species